GCCAAGGGCAGUGGUGUGCACCUGUAGUCCCAGCUACUCAGGAGGCUGAGGCAGGAGGAUCACUUGAGCUCAGGAGCACUGAGCUGUAGUGCACUGUGCCAGUUGAGUGCACUAAGUUUGGCAUCAAUAUGGUGACCUCCCAGGAGUCGGGGACCACCAGGUUGCCUGAGGGAGGUGUGAACCUACCCAGGUCAGAACUGGAGCAGAUCAAGACUCCCAUGCUGAUCAGUAGUGGGAUCUCACCUGUGAAUAGCCACUGCACUCCAGCCUGACCAACAUAGACCCCAUCU
rnacentral:SRP_RNA from 10 species